rnacentral:tmRNA from 1 species
CGGCUCGGGUAAAGGCGUCGAUCAGUGGUGAACGCCUUCGGACAAUGGCUGUAGUCCGUCGGUGUAUCACAGCCUACCGAACCUGACUGCGUGCUUGUUUGCGGUCUUGUGAGGGAAGCGGUUUAGUUUGAAGACUGUACCGAAAUAACAAGCUACGCUCGUAGAAAUUCGUGGGGAUGGGUUUUCGGACAGGGGUUCGACUCCCCUCGCCUCCACCA